UUGACCUCAAAUCGGGUGAGACUACCCGCUGAACUUAAGCAUAUCAAUAAGCGGAGGAAAAGAAACUAACAAGGAUUCCCCUAGUAACUGCGAGUGAAGCGGGAAAAGC
rnacentral:rRNA from 1 species